CUGGGUUCGAUCCUCAGCACCAUAUAAAAAUAAAUAAAAUAAAAGUAUUGUGUCCCUCAACAACAACAAAAAAAGAAAUACUUAGGAAUAAUUCUUACCAAAUAAAUGUCAGUUUUCUUCACUGAAAACUACGAAACAUAGCUAAAAUUAAAGGACCCCAAAAGGGGAAGUCAGCCAAUGUUCAUGGACCGGAAGACCUAAUAUCUUAGGAUGGCAAUACUCAUAAAGUUCGUGUUCAGAGUCCAUAAAUCUCUCACCCAGACACCCACCCCUUCUUAGCAGAAACAAAUAGGCUGAUCCUAAAACUCACAAGGAAGUGCAAAGAACUCAGAAUAGCCAGAGCAAUCUUGAAAAAGAACACUAUUUCAAAAAAAUCACGACAGAGUUACAGUCAGCAAAAGACCAAAUUAAAUGACGAUAAACAAAACCAAGAGCACCCACAAACGUUAAAGCAGUAAGAGGAAAGCAAGUCAUCAUGCACAGGAGUGCAACUGAGUGGUGGCUGGCCCCUCUUCAGAAGGAACAGAAGUGGAGGUGAUGCUCACAAAGCACCUCACACAGCUGCCACUUGGUCCACUCAGUGAAAGCAUCCUCAAGGUGGAAACAAAUGGAAGCUAUUCCAAGAUGAACAGAAACUGAAAGACCUAAUGCUAGCCAAUCUUACCUAUGAGAAAUGAAAAAGUGCUUCAGCCAAAUCUGCAGGACGCAAGGUAGAACCUCAGAAGUGGCAGAUGUGCUGCAGAUGUGAGGCAUGCAUGUGUGUGCACGUGCACGCGUGUGUGCACAUGCGCACACAUACAUGUGUGUGUGUAUUUGCACGUGUUUCCAAAGUUUUAAGGAAUGUAAGUUUGUUUAAUUAGAGAAUAAUUGCAGCACUGCCCUGUGAAGCUUGGAACACAUAAAUCACACAUACACAUGCAC
rnacentral:lncRNA from 1 species